ensembl:lncRNA
UGUACAUGUACACAAUGUACUACAUUAAAACCGCCUCACGCACAGCGGUGAGUAAACGCCAUGGCAACAGGACGGUGACGUUUCACUGAGGUCACCUGAACGCUGCUGGCCAUUCUGAAUUCACUUCUGCUGUUGAACUUGACGAGUGUAGCUGUGUUACCUAAAAAGUUGAACGGUCUGAGGCCCAAUCCCGUGGAAAAUAACCUGUGGAGAAUAAAUUGUUGGAGAACCGACCAAAAGUACUAACGAGUGUUACGUGGAGGAGACGAUGUCUUCCAGUGGACCCCCUGCGGUGGAGCCCCUGCUGAGCAGAGUCAGACGGUGGAUCCUUGCCUUUGCAAGUGAACCCCUCUGGCCCCUGUUCGCUGACCGCCCUGUUGUCCAGAGGGCCCUCGACGACGUGGUUCUUCCGGAUUACGAGGACGAGCUGAAGGAGGCCGAGCCCCCCAGAGGGGACGGUGAGCCACAGGUUCCUCCUCCUCCUCCCUUUGCUGCUCCCUACCCUGCUCCCUACUCUCACCCCUAUGCUGCUGCUUCCUAUGCCGCUGCUCCCUUUCCUCCUCCCUUCCCCCCUCCCUUUGCUGCUCCCUACCCUGCUCACUACCGUGCUCCUUACCCUGCUCCCUACUCUCACCCCUAUGCUGCUGCACCCUAUGCUGCUGCUCCCUACCCUGCUCCCUAUGCUGCUCCCUAUGCUGCUGCUCCCUUUGUUGCUCCCUUUGCUGCUCCCUACCCUGCUCACUACCUUGCUCCUUACCCUGCUCCCUACUCUCACUCCUAUGCUGCUGCUUCCUACUCUGCUCACUACCUUGCUCCUUACCCUGCUCCCUAAUCUCACACCUAUUCUGCUGAACGCUAUUGCUGCUUCCUAUGCUGCCAGUCCCUAUGCUGCUGCUCCCUAUGCUUAUGCUUUUGCUGCCUUUGCUGACCCUUUAACGCUGACCCUCACGCUGACCCUCACGCUGAACUUAACGCUGACCCUCAUGCUGACCUUAACGCUGUCCCUCAUGAUGGUGAUGAUGAUAUGAACGAUGAAAUUAACCGUAUGCUUCAAAGAUACAGGUUAGGGCUCCCCGAUGAGGAGGAGGACUCUGACAUCGAUGUCGUGGGUGAGUUUGCGUUACAGGUCCCUUUACUGGACAUUGAAGACAUCGGGCCAGUGCCCCCAGAAGACUCUUUUGAGGAGCUCCUGGAUGCAGAUGUUCUUGAAUCUCCCUCAACUUCUGGCCUCGACUCCUCGGCAAAACGGCGCAGGGACGAGAGCGACGGGGAGGAGUCUGCUGCGAAGAGGGCGCGGUAGUCUGAAGACAGCGACUCUGAUUGACAAUCCUCCGGGAAGCUUCGGAGCAACCACUGAGUCCACUUGCAGCAGGAACAGUGGUUGCCAUGGUAGCCUUUGCGUCUGGCAGGGCUAGUGUCCCCCAUGUAGCGUCUUGCAUUGGGGCUUUUCUGUAUUAUGUAGUCAUAUUUGCACAAGACAUCGGUCAACCUUUAUUUCAUCCUGAGGCCUUUGCGUCUGGCGGGGCUGUUGACCCCUUCUGCAGGUACUGGUAUCCUUUGCGUCUGGCAGGGCUUGUGUCCCCCAUGUAGCGUCUUGCUCUGGGGCUUUUCUUCUUCUUUGCGCGGUGGAUCGAUCAACUUUUCUUUCAUCCUGACGGCCGGCCUUUGCGACUGGCUUGGCCGGCGCUGCCUCAGGUAGCCUUUGCGUCUGGCAGAGGCGUUGACACCCCGAGCAUGUAGCCUUUGCGUCUGGCAGGGCUGAAGAAGACAAAAAUGCUUUUAUGUCUCGUUUUAUGCCUCCCCCUCCCCCACAGUGUCCACAUUCCUUUACAGGUUAAGAGUGAAGGUAUCAGUGAAAACUGACAAACAACAGAGUAAGUAGAACUCCCAAGGUUAGAAAUGCCUUCAUAUGGCCAAAUAUAGUGUAUGCCGUUAUGGAAAUUCAUAAUAUUCAAAUAUUUACAAUUACUUCCCAUACUAAUUAUGUUUUUAUCCCAUUUGGCCGUGUGAAAAAAUGCUGCUGUUCAAUGUGGACGAAAAAGGUAAGUAACUUAGAAUAAUCUGUAACCUACAGGCAACGUUAGAAGUAGGUUCUUUUAUUCUAUUGUGAAUCUGUUUAUGCACUUUGUAUGUUGACUCUAUUAUGCAAAUAUUGUUUUUACUAACCAAUACUUUAACCACACUCCAACUGAGCUGCUGCUGUUCACCGAGGACCAAAAGGCCGCUACCUCUCGCUGUGGACUAAAAGAUGAGGAGCAGCAAAGGAGGAAGAGCCGGACUCCGGGUUCCUGCAGGACAUCCAGGGCUACACGUUGAACACUAAAAAGAAACGCCCACAUUCCACUCCCAGGACAAGAUGGAGAGCAGCUAAGUUGAACUACUUCCUGUUCUUCUGUUUCAGAGACUCAACUUCCUGCACUACAUCCAGGGUGACCAUGACGACAGAAGACAAUCGCUCACUCCCGACCAGGGCAGCACUCCUGUUGUAUCCUUUGGAAAUCCUCGUGGUCCUGAGAGUGGAUGUAAACAGAAGUGUAAGCAGCCGUCCACUCAGAACAUUUCUCCACCUCACUGUUUAGAUGAAGAAUUCAAUAAAACACUUCUCAUAGAACCCUUUUGUUUUGGGAGAUUUCUUUGGUUCAAUCUCAUGUUCAUGUGAACCUUUUGGAGCGUUGAAUCGGUCGCAGGUGUCAUGAAAUGCAUCCUGGUUUAAAUGGCCCUAAACCAGCUUUGGAUCUUUCAACAAGCAGGCACACCGAUUCAUGUGGAUUACUCUGUAGAACAGCGGUUCCCAAACUCAAGAAUGCCGCGGCCCAAUUUGAAAUCUGAAAAUCUUUUGCGGCCCACCCAAACCUUUAAUCACAACUCUGAUCAAAACAUAAACUAGGGAUGAUUAAAUGACCUUAAGAAUUUAACCGAUUAAAAAUGUAUUAACAAUGUUUUGUAUACCAUUUUCUCCGGAGCUCCUAUAUAUUUACUUUAAUACUACAAGAGGGCGCCCCAUUUGACAUUGUUUUGUUUGGCGGCGCCUUUUGUUGAAUAACGACAGUCGGACAAGAGCUGGUCAGAUAAAAUAAUUUAAAUCAUAUUUAUAUUCAUUUAAAACUUUUCAAAAUUGAAAAUUAAAAACAUUUAUUGUAAAUGACCUCUCGCGGCCCACACUUUGGGAAUCGCUGCUGUAGAACAUUUCCACUUCCAUAAUAAUACGUAUUUCAUGAGGUAAUUAAGCUUCAAGUUGGGUCUACUGGAGACGAGUAGACAUUUCCUAAUGCUUCUUCCUCAUCUACUUGAGCUCAUCAGAACACGUAAUCAUUCAGGUCUGGGGAUGUUUCCACAUACAGCAGCAUGAUGUAACAAGUAGGCAUUCAAGUCACUGUACAUGGAGAAUGUAACCACUGCAUGCACCUCUUGUACUGGAAACAAUGCAGCCUUAAUAAACAUACGGUAGCUCUGCACCUUGAUCUCUCCAUUUUGUAUUGGAUGAAGUGUGUUCUUCAUUAACUGCACUGGUUUCAAAAAGGAGGAUAAAAUGACUUAGUUUCCCAGUGUAGCAUCUCUACAGAAGCCUCGGCUUCCCUUUCACGCCGGUCUGUUGUCUGAUCCUGGUCCAGCUGUUUCACC